GCUUGUUUGGAGGUUAGCUUGUAUGGAGGUUAUACAAGCUAACCUCCAUACAAGCUAACCUCCAUACAAGC
rnacentral:pre_miRNA from 1 species